rnacentral:rRNA from 1 species
AACGAACGCUGGCGGCAUGCCUAACACAUGCAAGUCGAACGAGACCUUCGGGUCUAGUGGCGCACGGGUGCGUAACGCGGGGGAAUCUGCCCUUCGGUUGGGAAUAACUGAGAGAAAUUUCAGCUAAUACCUUAUAAUGUCUUCGGACCAAAGAUUUAUCGCCGAGGGAUGAGCCCGUGUAGGAUUAGGUAGUUGGUGGGGUAAUGGCCCACCAAGCCGACGAUCCUUAGCUGGUCUGAGAGGAUGAUCAGCCACACUGGGACUGAGACACGGCCCAGACUCCUACGGGAGGCAGCAGUGGGGAAUAUUGGAAAAUGGGCGAAAGCCUGAUCCAGCAAUGCCGCGUGAGUGAUGAAGGCCUUAGGGUUGUAAAGCUCUUUUACCCCGGAUGAUAAUGACAGUACCGGGAGAAUAAGCUCCGGCUAACUCCGUG